rnacentral:rRNA from 1 species
AUACGGAGGAUCCGAGCGUUAUCCGGAUUUGUUGGGUUUAAAGGGUGCGUAGGCGGCCUUUUAAGUCAGCGGUGAAAGUCUGUGGCUCAACCAUAGAAUUGCCGUUGAAACUGGGGGGCUUGAGUAUGUUUGAGGCAGGCGGAAUGCGUGGUGUAGCGGGGAAAUGCUUAGAUAUCACGCAGAACCCCGAUUGUGAAGGCAGCCUGCCAAGCCAUGACUGACGCUGAUGCACGAAAGCGUGGGGAUCAAACAGGAUUAGAUACCCUGGUAGUCCACGCAGUAAACGAUGAUCACUAGCUGUUUGCGAUACACUGUAAGCGGCACAGCGAAAGCGUUAAGUGAUCCACCUGGGGAGUACGCCGGCAACGGUGAAACUCAAAUGAAUUGGCGGGG